AUUGAACGCUGGCGGCAUGCUUUACACAUGCAAGUCGAACGGUAACAGGGAGCUUGCUCCGCUGACGAGUGGCGAACGGGUGAGUAAUGCGUCGGAACGUGCCGAGUAGUGGGGGAUAACGCAUCGAAAGGUGUGCUAAUACCGCAUACGUACUGAGGUAGAAAGUGGGGGACCUUCGGGCCUCACGCUAUUCGAGCGGCCGACGUCUGAUUAGCUAGUUGGUGAGGUAAAGGCUCACCAAGGCGACGAUCAGUAGCGGGUCUGAGAGGAUGAUCCGCCACACUGGGACUGAGACACGGCCCAGACUCCUACGGGAGGCAGCAGUGGGGAAUUUUGGACAAUGGGCGCAAGCCUGAUCCAGCCAUGCCGCGUGUCUGAAGAAGGCCUUCGGGUUGUAAAGGACUUUUGUCCGGGAGCAAAUGCUGGUGGCUACCAUCCACCGGAGCUGAGAGUACCGGAAGAAUAAGCACCGGCUAACUACGUGCCAGCAGCCGCCGUAACAC
rnacentral:rRNA from 1 species